rnacentral:rRNA from 1 species
UUGAACUGAAGAGUUUGAUCAUGGCUCAGAUUGAACGCUGGCGGCAGGCCUAACACAUGCAAGUCGAGCGGAUGAAGGGAGCUUGCUCCCGGAUUCAGCGGCGGACGGGUGAGUAAUG